rnacentral:rRNA from 1 species
UACGUAGGGGGCAAGCGUUGUCCGGAAUUAUUGGGCGUAAAGAGCGCGUAGGCGGUCCGAUAAGUCGGCUGUGAAAGUCAAGGGCUCAACCCUUGAAAGCCGGCCGAUACUGUCGGACUAGAGUCCGGAAGAGGCGAGUGGAAUUCCCGGUGUAGCGGUGAAAUGCGCAGAUAUCGGGAGGAACACCAAUGGCGAAGGCAGCUCGCUGGGACGGUACUGACGCUGAGGCGCGAAGGCCAGGGUAGCGAACGGG